UUGCUCCUCGAUUCAGCGGCGGACGGGUGAGUAUGCCUAGGANUCUGCCUGGUAGUGGGGGACAACGUUUCGNAAGGAACGCUAAUACCGCAUCACGUCCUACGGGAGAAAGCANGGGUGCACCUUCGGGCCUUGCGCUAUCAGAUGAGCCUAGGUCGGAUUAGUCUAGUUGGUGGUGGUAAAGGCUCACCAAGGCGACGAUCCGUANCUGGUCUGAGAGGAUGAUCAGUCACACUGGAACUGAGACACGGUCCAGACUCCUACNGGAGGCAGCAGUGGGGAAUAUUGGACAAUGGGCGAAAGCCUGAUCCANCCAUGCCGCGUGUGUGAAGAAGGUCUUCGGAUUGUAAAGCACUUUANGUUGGGAGGAAGGGCCGUUACCUAAUACGUGAUGGUUUUGACGUUACCGACAGAAUAAGCACCGGCUAACUCUGUGCCAGCAGCCGCGGUAAUACAGAGGGUGCAAGCGUUAAUCAGAUUUUUUGGG
rnacentral:rRNA from 1 species